rnacentral:rRNA from 1 species
UCGCACUACGGGCCGGCAUCGUGUGUAAUGCUGUGUGUGGAAGCGUUGUCCGGAGUUAUUGGGCGGAAAGCGGGCGCAGGCGGUUCCUUAAGUCUGAUGUGAAAGCCCCCGGCUCGACCGGGGAGGGUCAUUGGAAACUGGGGAACUUGAGUGCAGAAGAGGAGAGUGGAAUUCCAUGUGUAGCGGUGAAAUGCGUAGAUAUAUGGAGGAACACCAGUGGCGAAGGCGACUCUCUGGUCUGUAACUGACGCUGAGGCUCGAAAGCGUGGGUAGCAAACAGGAUUAGAUACCCCCAGUAGUC